rnacentral:lncRNA from 1 species
AAUCUGGCAUGCUUCAGUCCAUGGGGUUUCAAAGAGUUGCACAUGACUUAGCAACUAAACAACAACACACUUUACAUGGUCACCUGUCGGAAGUUUGUGACGGGCAGCUGUACAGACAGCCAUAAAGCAGCACUUACGGCCAAAGUCAUCACAUUCUGGGAGC